rnacentral:tRNA from 1 species
UGGAGCAGCUUGGUAGCUCGUCGGGCUCAUAACCCGAAGGUCGUUGGUUCAAAUCCAC